CCCGCACCGAUGCGUGUAGGACCCCAAAGGAUCACAAUUAAAUUUGGCACAGAUCUCUAGAAAAGUUAUCACAUGGUUGUAGGACUUGACUUUUCUAGAGAUCUAUGCCAAAUUUAAUGGUGAUCCUUUGGGGUCCUACACACAUGGGUGUGGG
rnacentral:pre_miRNA from 1 species